rnacentral:rRNA from 1 species
UACGUAGGGGGCAAGCGUUGUCCGGAUUUAUUGGGCGUAAAGAGCGUGUAGGCGGCUAGGUAGGUCCGUUGUGAAAACUCGAGGCUCAACCUCGAGACGCCGGUGGAAACCAUCUAGCUAGAGUCCGGAAGAGGAGAGUGGAAUUCCUGGUGUAGCGGUGAAAUGCGUAGAUAUCAAGUGGAACACCAGUGGCGAAGGCGAGUCCCUGGACGACUCCUGACACUGAGGCACGAAAGCUAGGGGAGCAAACAGG